GUAAUCAUAUGCUUGUCUCAAAGAUUAAGCCAUGCAUGUCUAAGUACAUGCCGAAAUAAGGCGAAACCGCGAAUGGCUCAUUAAAUCAGUUAUGGUUCCUUAGAUCGUUUCUUCCUACUUGGAUAACUGUGGCAAUUCUAGAGCUAAUACAUGCAGUGAGCCUGAAGCCCUUUGGGCGACGGGUGCUUUUAUUAGACCAAGAUCGAUCGGGUUUCGGCCCGUAUUGUGUGGUGACUCUGGAUAACUUUGUGCUGAUCGCAUGGCCACGAGCCGGCGACGUUUCUUUCAAGUGUCUGCCUUAUCAACUUUCGAUGGUAGGUUACUUGCUUACCAUGGUUGUUACGGGUAACGGAGAAUCAGGGUUCGAUUCCGGAGAGGGAGCCUGAGAAACGGCUACCACAUCCAAGGAAGGCAGCAGGCGCGCAAAUUACCCACUCCCGGCACGGGGAGGUAGUGACGAAAAAUAACAAUACGGGACUCUUUUGAGGCCCCGUAAUUGAAAUGAGUACACUCUAAAUCCUUUAACGAGGAUCAAUUGGAGGGCAAGUCUGGUGCCAGCAGCCGCGGUAAUUCCAGCUCCAAUAGCGUAUACUAAAGCUGCUGCGGUUAAAAAGCUCGUAGUUGGAUCUCAGUUCCAGACGAGUAGUGCAUCUACCCGAUGCGACGGCUCGGACUGAACAUCAUGCCGGUCCUUUCUUGGUGCACUUCAUUGUGUGCCUCGAGAAGGCCGGUGCUUUUACUUUGAAAAAAUUAGAGUGCUCAACGCAGGCGAGUCGCCUGAAUAAACUUGCAUGGAAUAAUAGAACAAGACCUCGUUUCUGUUCUGUUGGUUUUUGGAAUACGAGGUAAUGAUUAAGAGGGACAGACGGGGGCAUUCGUAUUGCGGCGCUAGAGGUGAAAUUCUUGGACCGUCGCAAGACGAACUACUGCGAAAGCAUUUGCCAAGAAUGUUUUCUUUGAUCAAGAACGAAAGUCAGAGGUUCGAAGGCGAUCAGAUACCGCCCUAGUUCUGACCAUAAACGAUGCCAACCAGCGAUCCGCCUGAGUUACUCAAAUGACUCGGCGGGCAGCUUCCGGGAAACCAAAGUGUUUGGGUUCCGGGGGAAGUAUGGUUGCAAAGCUGAAACUUAAAGGAAUUGACGGAAGGGCACCACCAGGAGUGGAGCCUGCGGCUUAAUUUGACUCAACACGGGAAAACUUACCCGGCCCGGACACUGGGAGGAUUGACAGAUUGAGAGCUCUUUCUUGAUUCGGUGGAUGGUGGUGCAUGGCCGUUCUUAGUUGGUGGAGCGAUUUGUCUGGUUAAUUCCGAUAACGAACGAGACUCUAGCCUAUUAAAUAGGUGCGGGGUUCCCAGCACCUUACAACCUUCUUAGAGGGACAAGCGGCUCCUAGCCGCACGAAACAGAGCAAUAACAGGUCUGUGAUGCCCUUAGAUGUCCGGGGCCGCACGCGCGCUACACUGAAGGAAGCAGCGUGUCUUUAUCCCUGUCUGAAAAGACUGGGUAACCCGUGGAACUUCUUUCGUGAUUGGGAUAGGGGCUUGCAAUUGUUCCCCUUGAACGAGGAAUUCCCAGUAAGCGCGAGUCAUAAGCUCGCGUUGAUUACGUCCCUGCCCUUUGUACACACCGCCCGUCGCUACUACCGAUUGAAUGAUUUAGUGAGGUCUUCGGACCGAUGUCCGGCGCGGCCUUUCGGUUGCGCCGGUCUGUUGGAAAGAUGACCAAACUUGAUCAUUUAGAGGAAGUAAAAGUCGUAACAAGGUUUCCGUAGGUGAACCUGCGGA
rnacentral:rRNA from 2 species